ensembl:lncRNA
AUGGUCCUGCAUGGCCCCAGUGCUAAAGCCACCACUGAGGAGGUUACAGCAGCUGUGCACAUCUGCACUGUGGUACACAUAGAAACGUGGGAGGAAGAGCUGGGUACACCAGAAAAAAAUGGAACAAGCUGUCCUAACCUAGCCUCUCUGUUUUUGCAAUCAAUCUGUGUUUUGUUUUGCUGCUACAGAGGCCAUGUAACAGUCAACACAAGGAAUAGACAGAUUUCUCCCUCUCCUCUGCAGAGAGCAGUACCUGCUCUACUGGCAGCAGCUGAGCCAGGCCCCACCAGCAUUCAUUGGACAGAGGUUCUGGAGAACAGAUUGAACCUUGUGGCUACAUCCAUCCUAGAAUCCCAGCUGGAAAAAUACACAGGAGUGUCCUUGGCCUCCCACAGGAUGCUGGGGCACAACAAUGCAGCAUGGGCCAGGAACUGGUUUUCCAAGAGGUGGUUAUAUGAAGUCUAAAAUAACUGAAGCAUUCCCUCACACCCACAGAGCCCUCAGCCUUGCCUUGCCUCUGCCCCCACUGAAGCCAGUGUGAGUAAACCAGUGUCAAAGACCACUCCCUGGUGGGAGCCUGUCUCAGGAGGGGAUGAUCUACAGACACAGUCAUGAAGGUUGAAUUUGUCUCACAGGACUCUCCUGAGGGCAGGAGGAGAGGUGAGAAACCAUGUUCUGCAUCUUCCCCACCGGAUUCCAAGGUCUGCUCAUUUUCUGCCUCAGAAUAAAUUCCCAACCCCCACGGUGUCCUGCA